CUACCCUUGACAUGUCCGGAAGCCCGGUGAGAGCUGGGUGUGCCCGAAAGGGAACCGGAACACAGGUGCUGCAUGGCUGUCGUCAGCUCGUGUCGUGAGAUGUUGGGUUAAGUCCCGCAACGAGCGCAACCCUUGUCAUUAGUUGCUACAUUCAGUUGGGCACUCUAAUGAGACUGCCGGUGACAAACCGGAGGAAGGUGGGGAUGACGUCAAGUCCUCAUGGCCCUUAUGGGUAGGGCUUCACACGUAAUACAAUGGCGCGUACAGAGGGUUGCCAAGGGGUGACCUGGAGCCAAUCCCACAAAGCGCGUCGUAGUCCGGAUUGCAGUCUGCAACUCGACUGCAUGAAGUCGGAAUCGCUAGUAAUCGCGGAUCAGCAUGUCGCGGUGAAUACGUUCCC
rnacentral:rRNA from 1 species